AGGCCUCCUUAAAAACCAUGCCUCUCCUCCCACACCCUAGUGCUGGUCUCGUCUUGACCACGCAGCAAAGCAGGCCCGGUCCGGUGCGCACAUUCUUCUGUGCCCAGCUACUGCUCCGUGGCCCCCGUGCCCAGCCCGCAUGAGAACCCAGCCCGAGCCUGCCGCAUACAGACCUCCCAGCCCUCCGCCACAGGCAGGCCCAGGUGAGUUGAGGACAAGGUGUCCUCACGGCUUUGGAAUUCCAGGCCCAACCACUGCAGCCCCAGUAAUGGUCUGUUUUUUCUUAAGUGGGGAAGAGGCAGACUCAUUCCAACCUCAUGCCCCACGAAGUCUGACCACCUCGGGGCACCAGCGUCCUUUGAAGGACCGAGGACUUGGCAUCCAAGAUUUCCUCAGUUCUUCAGACCCCAAAUGCCGGCCCUGAGGAUUCCCCAUGGUCAGCACCACAUCAGGCUCGUGCGUGAGGCUGUCCCCAGGCUGUCCCUGCAGGAGGGCAGGUGAAGCCCCACUUCCCAGGCUGCUCACCACCCCUCUACUCCCCAGAGCGCACAAGCCUCGCUCCCCAAUCUCCCUCUUUUCAUUUUUCAUGGGCUAGCCAUGGCUGCGAGCCUACUGCGCGCACCAAGCUCAGUGGUAGGCACACGGCAUGUAUAUUUCUUUUUUAUCACCAUUAUGACCCUGCAAGGUACUGUCUUCGCUAUUUCACAGGUGGGGACACUGAGGCUCAGAGAGGUGGGGGAACUUGUCCAAAAUCUCAGAGCGAUGCCAUGGCAGAGCUGGGAUGUAAGCCCCAAAGCUCUCGCUGCUCCUCCCCCUGCCUCUGAAUUUACUUUCUCACACUUUAUCCCCCCUGCUUUGCAUUUCCAAGCCCCUUCCUCUGUCAUCCUGGAGCAUCUGUAGACAACAGCAAUCAGCAGCCUUGGGUUCUGGCAGUUUCCGAUACAACACAUGUACACACCUACACACAAUGACCACCCCUCAGCAGAGGUCAAAUGGAAUGGAAUCUACCGCCAUCGAGAAGGUUAAUGGGCUGCCUUGGGUACAGCACAGAAUCCUACCUACUGACGUUUCCAAAGGCGUCUUCCUUUACAAGGCUGGCAUAUAAUUCUCAUAGGUCUCCAGGAUUGCCCAGAGAGAGGGUAGUAUGACCCUCUUCUUGAAAAGGUGGGAAUUGAGGGUUCCCAUUCAAGGUCACAGCUAAUGAAAGCAGGAACCAAUGAAUCUGCACACCUCUCCUGCCCUUUCCAGCACCCCUGCACCUUAUCAGCCCAGAGCUGGGAAUAGAAGAGAUAAGUGUGUUUGGAUGGGGAGGAGGAGAAUGUGUGUGUACGUGUUGCUGCGUUAUGCAUCCUGAUUCUGAUUCUCCCGUAACGUUGCAGAGGCUGCCAGAGGUACUCAAACAAGCCUACAUCAUGUACAUCACCAAGAAACACUAACUUGCAAAAACAAACCCAAUCAGAAGGAACCACAAAACCAUCCAAGGCACGGCAACAGAAGACAGGGCUCCCCAAACUCAGCAGGCUGGCCGGCAUGGGUACUGGGGAUCAGGCAGGCAUGGACUUCUCGGCUCGCCACUACCGUGUAAGCAUCAAGCAAGUCUGAGCAACCA